UACGUAGGGUGCGAGCGUUAAUCGGAAUUACUGGGCGUAAAGCGUGCGCAGGCGGUGAUGUAAGACAGGUGUGAAAUCCCCGGGCUUAACCUGGGAACUGCAUUUGUGACUGCAUCGCUGGAGUGCGGCAGAGGGGGAUGGAAUUCCGCUCGUGUAGCAGUGAAAUGCGUAGAUAUGCGGAGGAACACCGAUGGCGAAGGCAACUCCCUGGCCUGCACUGACGCUCAUGCACGAAAGCGUGGGGAGCGAACAGG
rnacentral:rRNA from 1 species